GAUGAACGCUGGCGGCGUGCCUAAUACAUGCAAGUCGAGCGAACAGACGAGGAGCUUGCUCCUCUGACGUUAGCGGCGGACGGGUGAGUAACACGUGGAUAACCUACCUAUAAGACUGGGAUAACUUCGGGAAACCGGAGCUAAUACCGGAUAAUAUAUUGAACCGCAUGGUUCAAUAGUGAAAGUCGGUUUUGCUGUCACUUAUAGAUGGAUCCGCGCCGCAUUAGCUAGUUGGUAAGGUAACGGCUUACUAAGGCAACGAUGCGUAGCCGACCUGAGAGGAUGGUCGGCCACACUGGAACUGAGACACGGUCCAGACUCCUACGGGAGGCAGCAGUAGGGAAUCUUACGCAAUGGGCGAAAGCUUGACGGAGCAACGCCGCGUGAGUGAUGAAGGUCUUCGGAUCGUAAAACUCUGUUAUUAGGGAAGAACAAAUGUGUAAGUAACUAUGCAUGUCUUGACGGUACCUAAUCAGAAAGCCACGGCUAACUACGUG
rnacentral:rRNA from 1 species